CUCAGGAGCCCAUGGAAGAUUGCAACAUCUCCUGGGUUGAGGGAGCCACCCAUCCUGUGGGAAUUUGGUUUUGAAAUACAGCUGGAAUAAAUGCGGGACUCCAAGGUAGCUUGUCCAUUGCCAGACAAUGAAGAAAGGGGACUGAGGCUCACCUUUGGACUUCCUGAUUGACAUCCCACGUUCAGAUCUGGAUAUUCAGUUUCCUACAACUAUCCUCCUCACCAAUGUAAUCCUUCUUUGGAGCUGAGAAAUGUCAUCUUUCUUAGCUUUUCUGUCUUGCCCUGUCUUGGUUCGUCCCGUUAUGGAGAGCGCAUCCACUAGUUCCUGGAGAAACAGAGUUCAAAGAGUCUCCUCUGUUGCCCAGGUUGGAAUGCAGUGGCGCCAUCUUGACUACAUCCUCGGCCUCCCAGGUUCAAGUGAUUCUCCUGCCUCAGCCUCCCGAGUAGCUGGGACUGCACUAUGCCUCGCUAAUUCUGUGUAUUUUUAGUAAAGACAAGGUUUCACCGUGUUAUCCAGGAUGGUCUCAAUCUCCUGACCUUGUGAUCCGCCCACUUCAGUCCCCCAAAGUGCUGAGAUUACAGGCAUGAGCCAUCGCACCUGGCCAGGGGUUGGAUUUUGAGAGGAGAGGAGUGGAAAUGUCUUCAUUCCAUCAAUUUAAAAAUCACAGAUCUGGUGAUCAAAUUGUGAGGGAUAGAUUCACAUUAUAACAACACUUGUCAGAAAUUUGUUUUAAAGCGAAUUACAGUGUAUUAAUUCAGAAGCCAAGUAAAGAUCUAAACAUUUUUAUAGUAGAGAAAAUUAAGUGAUCUUUAUGGUUAAUGUUAGCCUGUUACCUAGCCUGAUGCCACAUCCCUCAUGUAAGUAGGUACCUGCCAAAAUAAAUAGAAUAAUUAAAUUGGGAAGCCAGGAAUUACCACUGGACAGUUCUGAUAAUUCCAUUCUUCUUUCUCUAUUCUUCAUGAAUAUCUGUUAAAAAAAAGAUUGCACAAUUAUUUGAGUGAGAAAAAAAUAUUUAUGAAGUGUCUACUCUGUACCAUAUAUAGUAGUAUGCAUUAUUUCAUUACUUUUUGUCAGAUAUUAGUUACAUUUUAAAUUUAUGUCUUUUUAGUGAGAUUCCAGGGAAGUACCUUAUUUCCUGAUGAAUUUAAGGAAUUCCCAUUAUAUGCUUUACUCAUUUCCUGGGAAGACUUUCACAUGUGACCAAAUACAUUCAUUUUAUAAUGCCUUCUACAGCUUUUAUUUUAAUUGUUGAUUUUUAUGGCUUUGUUCAUAAUUCUGUGCAUAAUUUUUUGUUUACCCACAUUAUCCAUUGACUACAUACUCAAUAUUAUACAAAACCUUCACUGUUUAUUU
rnacentral:lncRNA from 1 species